rnacentral:rRNA from 1 species
GACGAACGCUGGCGGCGUGCUUAACACAUGCAAGUCGAACGAUGAAGCCGGAGCUUGCUCUGGUGAAUUAGUGGCGAACGGGUGCGUAACACGUGAGUAACCUGCCCUUGACUCUGGGAUAACUGCGGGCAACUGUAGCUACUACCGCAUCCGACCGUCGGAGGCAUCUCCUGGGGUUGGCCAGAAUUUCGGUCAAGGAUGGACUCGCGGACUCUCAGCUAGCGGGUGAGGUAAAGGCUCACCAAGGCGACGACCGGUAGCCGGCCUGAGAGGGUGGCCGGCCACACUGGGACUGAGACACAGCCCAGACUCCUACGGGAGGCAGCAGUGGGGAAUAUUGCACAAUGGGCGCAAGCCUGAUGCAGCAACGCCGCGUGAGGGAUGACGGCCUUCGGGUUGUAAACCUCUUUUAGCAGGGAAGAAGCGAAAGUGACGGUACCUGCAGAAAAAGCACCGGCUAACUACGUGCCAGCCGCCGCCGUAA